rnacentral:rRNA from 1 species
AUUGAACGCUGGCGGCAGGCCUAGCACAUGCAAGUCGAACGGUAACAGGAAGAAGCUUGCUUCUUUGCUGACGAGUGGCGGACGGGUGAGUAAUGUCUGGGAAACUGCCUGAUGGAGGGGGAUAACUACUGGAAACGGUAGCUAAUACCGCAUAACGUCGCAAGACCAAAGAGGGGGACCUUCGGGCCUCUUGCCAUCGGGUGUGCCCAGAUGGGAUUAGCUAGGAGGUGGGGUAACGGCUCACCUAGGCGACGAUCCCUAGCUGGUCUGAGAGGAUGACCAGCCACACUGGAACUGAGACACGGUCCAGACUCCUACGGGAGGCAGCAGUGGGGAAUAUUGCACAAUGGGCGCAAGCCUGAUGCAGCCAUGCCGCGUGUAUGAAGAAGGCCUUCGGGUUGUAAAGUACUUUCAGCGGGGAGGAAGGGAGUAAAGUUAAUACCUUUACUCAUUGACGUUACCCGCAGAAGAAGCACCGGCUAACUCCGUG